rnacentral:rRNA from 1 species
GACGGGGGGGGCAAGUGUUCUUCGGAAUGACUGGGCGUAAAGAGCUCGUAGGCGGUGUGUCACGUCGUUCGUGAAAACCUGCAGCUUAACUGUGGGCGUGCGGUCGAUACGGGCAUCACUGGAGUUCGGCAGGGGGGACUGGAAUUCCUGGUGUAGCGGUGAAAUGCGCAGAUAUCAGGAGGAACACCGGUGGCGAAGGCGGGUCUCUGGGCCGAUACUGACGCUGAGGAGCGAAAGCAUGGGGAGCGAACAGG